ACGAACGCUGGCGGCGUGCUUAACACAUGCAAGUCGAACGGAAAGGCCCUGCUUUUGUGGGGUGCUCGAGUGGCGAACGGGUGAGUAACACGUGAGUAACCUGCCCUUGACUUUGGGAUAACUUCAGGAAACUGGGGCUAAUACCGGAUAGGAGCUCCUGCUGCCUGGUGGGGGUUGGAAAGUUUCGGCGGUUGGGGAUGGACUCGCGGCUUAUCAGCUCGUUGGUGGGGUAGUGGCUUACCAAGGCUUUGACGGGUAGCCGGCCUGAGAGGGUGACCGGCCACAUUGGGACUGAGAUACGGCCCAGACUCCUACGGGAGGCAGCAGUGGGGAAUAUUGCACAAUGGGCGGAAGCCUGAUGCAGCAACGCCGCGUGCGGGAUGACGGCCUUCGGGUUGUAAACCGCUUUCGCCUGUGACGAAGCGUGAGUGACGGUAAUGGGUAAAGAAGCACCGGCUAACUACGUG
rnacentral:rRNA from 1 species